rnacentral:rRNA from 1 species
UACGUAGGGUGCAGGCGUUAAUCGGAAUUACUGGGCGUAAAGCGUGCGCAGGCGGCUCCUUAAGUCAGAUGUGAAAUCCCCGGGCCUAACCUGGGAACUGCGUUUGAAACUGGGGAGCUGGAGUGUAGAAGAGGGGGGUGGAAUUCCAGGUGUAGCAGUGAAAUGCGUAGAGAUCUGGAGGAACACCGAUGGCGAAGGCAGCCCCCUGGGCUAACACUGACGCUCAUGCACGAAAGCGUGGGGAGCAAACAGG